rnacentral:rRNA from 1 species
GUCCACGCCGUAAACGAUGGGUGCUAGGUGUGGGGGGUGUCGACUCCCUCCGUGCCGAAGCUAACGCAUUAAGCACCACGCCUGGGGAGUACGGCCGCAAGGCUAAAACUCAAAGGAAUUGACGGGGGCCCGCACAAGCAGCGGAGCAUGUGGUUCAAUUCGACGCAACGCGAAGAACCUUACCGAGACUUGACAUGCACUGGAAUGUCGUAGAAAUACGCCAGCCCUUCGGGGCUAGUGCACAGGUGGUGCAUGGCUGUCGU